UGGGGAAUCUUCCGCAAUGGACGAAAGUCUGACGGAGCAACGCCGCGUGAGUGAAGACGGCCUUCGGGUUGUAAAGCUCUGUGAUCCGGGACGAAAGAGCCUGAGGUGAAUAGCCUAAGGAAGUGACGGUACCGGAAAAGCAAGCCACGGCUAACUACGUGCCAGCAGCCGCGGUAAUACGUAGGUGGCAAGCGUUGUCCGGAAUUAUUGGGCGUAAAGCGCGCGCAGGCGGCUUCCUAAGUCCAUCUUAAAAGUGCGGGGCUUAACCCCGUGAUGGGAUGGAAACUGGGAAGCUGGAGUAUCGGAGAGGAAAGUGGAAUUCCUAGUGUAGCGGUGAAAUGCGUAGAGAUUAGGAAGAACACCGGUGGCGAAGGCGACUUUCUGGGCGAAAACUGACGCUGAGGCGCGAAAGCGUGGGGAGCAAACAGG
rnacentral:rRNA from 1 species